CCGCAUAAGCGCACGAGGAGACAUCUCCUAGUGUGAAAAACUCCGGUGGUACAGGAUGGGCCCGCGUCUGAUUAGCUGGUUGGCAGGGUAACGGCCUACCAAGGCAACGAUCAGUAGCCGGUCUGAGAGGAUGAACGGCCACAUUGGAACUGAGACACGGUCCAAACUCCUACGGGAGGCAGCAGUGGGGAAUAUUGCACAAUGGGGGAAACCCUGAUGCAGCAACGCCGCGUGAGUGAAGAAGUAUUUCGGUAUGUAAAGCUCUAUCAGCAGGGAAGAUAAUGACGGUACCUGACUAAGAAGCUCCGGCUAAAUACGUGCCAGCAGCCGCGGUAAUACGUAUGGAGCAAGCGUUAUCCGGAUUUACUGGGUGUAAAGGGUGCGUAGGUGGCAGUGCAAGUCAGAUGUGAAAGGCCGGGGCUCAACCCCGGAGCUGCAUUUGAAACUGCUCGGCUAGAGUACAGGAGAGGCAGGCGGAAUUCCUAGUGUAGCGGUGAAAUGCGUAGAUAUUAGGAGGAACACCAGUGGCGAAGGCGGCCUGCUGGGCUGUUACUGACACUGAGGCACGAAAGCGUGGGGAGCAAACAGGAUUAGAUACCCUGGUAGUCCACGCCGU
rnacentral:rRNA from 1 species